UACGGGGGGGGCAAGCGUUGUUCGGAAUUACUGGGCGUAAAGGGCUCGUAGGCGGCCAACUAAGUCAGACGUGAAAUCCCUCGGCUUAACAGGGGAACUGCGUCUGAUACUGGAUGGCUUGAGUUUGGGAGAGGGAUGCGGAAUUCCAGGUGUAGCGGUGAAAUGCGUAGAUAUCUGGAGGAACACCGGUGGCGAAGGCGGCAUCCUGGACCAACACUGACGCUGAGUGAGCGAAAGCCAGGGGAGCAAACGGG
rnacentral:rRNA from 1 species